rnacentral:lncRNA from 1 species
CAACAGAAUUGGCUGAGUAAUGUGGAAUGUGGCCAGGAGACCAGCCAGAUGCAGAGCCCAGUGAGCCCUGCCCUGCGUCUCUGUGCAGGGUGUGUGAUGUGUGGCUUCCCAGACAGUCAUCCAACAGGCACUUUCCAAGUCCCUGCUCUGCACCAGGGAGGGCUUCCUGAGUGGCAAGAGCUACGCCUGGGCUGGGUGCCAGCUAGCUGGGUGAAGUUCUCACAGUGUCCACUAGAUGCCGCGCCUACACCACAGGGUCUCACUAUGUUGCCCAGGCUGGUCCCAAACUCCUGGC